AGUCUGGAGUCUGGACAUACCCAAGAGGCCAAGACCAAGCAUCUAUUGCUUCGGGAAGCAUCUGUUUACACUUUACACCGACCUCCACUGUUACACCCAAAUGCCCAAAUCGGUGAUCCCAAUAGUACCGAUUCUUCCGUGUCUUCUACUGACGUAUAAGCGAGAUUGAGAGAGUUUGGUUCGUUGCUUUUGAUCUGUGAAUUUGGAUUUGCUCUCUCUUUCUGCUCAUUAUCUCCUCUAAUUUCAGAAAGCUAUAUCACAAGAUCAGGAGUUGCAAUUGCUUUUUGUAGAGUUGUCUCUAUGAACUGAACCUUUCAACGCAGUGCUCAUGUGGAAGCUGAAAGUAUUGAGAAUGGUAUUGGUGUUAUGAAGCUAAUGGAACGCUACAAUGGUGUUGCCAUUCGAGAUGCGGACUGUUGCCAUUCAAGUUGCCAUUCGAGACGCGGACUGUUGUUUGAUUCCAGAGUCCCCCUUCUUUCUUAAAGGACGACUUGGACUUUUUGAAUACAUUGAAAAAUGACUUGAAGAAAAUGGACAUAUGGUUAUUGUGAUCGCUGAGGGAGCAGGACAGGGUCUUCUUUCAGAGAGGUUGCAAUCCGUGAACCAGCAAGAUGCUUCAGGAAACAAGCUACUUAAAGAUGUUGGGUUUCUUGGUCUGCAAGAUUUUGAUCACCUGAGCAUGAACUUUCUACAAUUUGUUAUUGUAUUUAUGAAAUGAUGCAGACGAACUUGCUUAGCCUAUUAACUCCCACAAAUUGGUAUGAGGAUGCGCAGUUGCAACGUUAUAAUUUUUUUUUUUUUUGAUCGGGAGCAACGUUAUAAUUGAUAUAG